rnacentral:rRNA from 1 species
AAUGGGUCAGCGACUUAUAUUCUGUAGCAAGGUUAACCGAAUAGGGGAGCCGAAGGGAAACCGAGUCUUAACUGGGCGUUAAGUUGCAGGGUAUAGACCCGAAACCCGGUGAUCUAGCCAUGGGCAGGUUGAAGGUUGGGUAACACUAACUGGAGGACCGAACCGACUAAUGUUGAAAAAUUAGCGGAUGACUUGUGGCUGGGGGUGAAAGGCCAAUCAAACCGGGAGAUAGCUGGUUCUCCCCGAAAGCUAUUUAGGUAGCGCCUCGUGAAUUCAUCUCCGGGGGUAGAGCACUGUUUCGGCAAGGGGGUCAUCCCGACUUACCAACCCGAUGCAAACUGCGAAUACCGGAGAAUGUUAUCACGGGAGACACACGGCGGGUGCUAACGUCCGUCGUGAAGAGGGAAACAACCCAGACCGCCAGCUAAGGUCCCAAAGUCAUGGUUAAGUGGGAAACGAUGUGGGAAGGCCCAGACAGCCAGGAUGUUGGCUUAGAAGCAGCCAUCAUUUAAAGAAAGCGUAAUAGCUCACUGGUCGAGUCGGCCUGCGCGGAAGAUGUAACGGGGCUAAACCAUGCACCGAAGCUGCGGCAGCGACACUAUGUGUUGUUGGGUAGGGGAGCGUUCUGUAAGCCUGCGAAGGUGUACUGUGAGGUAUGCUGGAGGUAUCAGAAGUGCGAAUGCUGACAUAAGUAACGAUAAAGCGGGUGAAAAGCCCGCUCGCCGGAAGACCAAGGGUUCCUGUCCAACGUUAAUCGGGGCAGGGUGAGUCGACCCCUAAGGCGAGGCCGAAAGGCGUAGUCGAUGGGAAACAGGUUAAUAUUCCUGUACUUGGUGUUACUGCGAAGGGGGGACGGAGAAGGCUAUGUUGGCCGGGCGACGGUUGUC